rnacentral:ribozyme from 1 species
UGCCCAGCAACUCCUAUCCCUACCUCCUCGCGGUACCGGCCGGAAACUAUGAGCAACCUUAAGGAAGAUCUCCGGUAGGAACUUUGGUCGUUGGUAGACAGGGAAGG